GGAAAUGCAGUACCAUAUGAUAUCUGUUAGACAUUUUUUAAAGGAAUGUGAUGAUAUUUUCUUGAAGACUUAUUUCUCUUUUUGACUUGAAAAAUAAAUCAAGCAUACUCUGGUCAAGAAUAUGUCUCUUAAGUACCCACAGUAACUAGUUAAGUAAGAGUCUUGAGAAGUCAUUGAGAAAAAGCUAAACUUAUUAAGUAUUUGUUUUUGGCUUUUUUUUAAGAUAAUUUACCUGAAUGUGCAGUGGGAAAUGGAGAGUUAUACUGUAUUUAAUGCUGACCCACAUUCAGGGACAGUCAAAGACAGUAAAACAGAAAACAUCUUGGUCACACUGAAAGUCAGAACAGAGACCAUUCCUCCUAUCAAAUCAAGCUGAGCAGAGGUAUGCAAGGACAAGAAGAAAACAGCAGUUACUUUAUCAUAGAUCCUUAUGGCCUGAAGUAAUUGACUCAGUAUUAUAAUUACAUCUAGCUACAGAAAUAGGAAGCAAUACAAUGCCACUUUUUUGUAAUGCAGAAAAUACGUGUUAAAGUCACUGUAUGUUCUUUCAAGGAAAGGUGUGUUCUUUGUAUGGAUGGAAUAUGGGUGCGCUGAUUUCUCAGCAAGUCUGUCAUGUUUAAAAACAAAACUAUGAAUAAUAAAAAAAACAAAACAUAAUACGAUCCUAUGAUUUGAAAAGAAAGUGAUGUUUUACAUUUCCAUGCUUUGAUGCUGAAAGAAACAUGCAGCGUUUUCCUAUUAGCUUAACUAACAGAUGAUAUAUUGCCAGCUGCAGAGCUAUUUCCAAUUAAAUGCAUCUGAACUGAC